rnacentral:rRNA from 1 species
GAUGAACGCUGGCGGCGUUCCUAAUACAUGCAAGUCGAGCGAACAGACGAGGAGCUUGCUCCUCUGACGUUAGCGGCGGACGGGUGAGUAACACGUGGAUAACCUACCUAUAAGACUGGGAUAACUUCGGGAAACCGGAGCUAAUACCGGAUAAUAUAUUGAACCGCAUGGUUCAAUAGUGAAAGACGGUUUUGCUGUCACUUAUAGAUGGAUCCGCGCCGCAUUAGCUAGUUGGUAAGGUAACGGCUUACCAAGGCAACGAUGCGUAGCCGACCUGAGAGGGUGAUCGGCCACACUGGAACUGAGACACGGUCCAGACUCCUACGGGAGGCAGCAGUAGGGAAUCUUCCGCAAUGGGCGAAAGCUUGACGGAGCAACGCCGCGUGAGUGAUGAAGGUCUUCGGAUCGUAAAACUCUGUUAUUAGGGAAGAACAAAUGUGUAAGUAACUAUGCACGUCUUGACGGUACCUAAUCAGAAAGCCACGGCUAACUACGUG